GUGGGGAAUAUUGGACAAUGGGGGGAACCCUGAUCCAGCCAUGCCGCGUGUGUGAAGAAGGCCUUUUGGUUGUAAAGCACUUUAAGCGAGGAGGAGGCUACCGAGAUUAAUACUCUUGGAUAGUGGACGUUACUCGCAGAAUAAGCACCGGCUAACUCUGUGCCAGCAGCCGCGGUAAUACAGAGGGUGCAAGCGUUAAUCGGAUUUACUGGGCGUAAAGCGCGCGUAGGUGGCCAAUUAAGUCAAAUGUGAAAUCCCCGAGCUUAACUUGGGAAUUGCAUUCGAUACUGGUUAGCUAGAGUAUGGGAGAGGAUGGUAGAAUUCCAGGUGUAGCGGUGAAAUGCGUAGAGAUCUGGAGGAAUACCGAUGGCGAAGGCAGCCAUCUGGCCUAAUACUGACACUGAGGUGCGAAAGCAUGGGGAGCAAACAGGAUUAGAAACCCGAGUAGUCC
rnacentral:rRNA from 1 species